GCCCUUAGAGUUUGAUCCUGGCUCAGAUUGAACGCUGGCGGCAUGCCUUACACAUGCAAGUCGAACGGUAACAGGUCUUCGGAUGCUGACGAGUGGCGAACGGGUGAGUAAUACAUCGGAACGUGCCCGAUCGUGGGGGAUAACGAGGCGAAAGCUUUGCUAAUACCGCAUACGAUCUACGGAUGAAAGCGGGGGAUCUUCGGACCUCGCGCGGACGGAGCGGCCGAUGGCAGAUUAGGUAGUUGGUGGGAUAAAUGCUUACCAAGCCGACGAUCUGUAGCUGGUCUGAGAGGAUGAUCAGCCACACUGGGACUGAGACACGGCCCAGACUCCUACGGGAGGCAGCAGUGGGGAAUUUUGGACAAUGGGCGAAAGCCUGAUCCAGCCAUGCCGCGUGCAGGAUGAAGGCCUUCGGGUUGUAAACUGCUUUUGUACGGAACGAAAAGCCUCUUUCUAAUAAAGAGGGGUCAUGACGGUACCGUAAGAAUAAGCACCGGCUAACUACGUGCCAGCAGCCGCGGUAAUACGUAGGGUGCAAGCGUUAAUCGGAAUUACUGGGCGUAAAGCGUGCGCAGGCGGUUUUGUAAGACAG
rnacentral:rRNA from 1 species